rnacentral:rRNA from 1 species
CCUACGGGCGGCAGCCGUGAGGAAUAUUGGUCAAUGGACGAGAGUCUGAACCAGCCAAGUAGCGUGAAGGAUGACUGCCCUAUGGGUUGUAAACUUCUUUUAUAUGGGAAUAAAACAGGGUAUGCAUACACUCUUGUAUGUACCAUAUGAAUAAGGAUCGGCUAACUCCGUGCCAGCAGCCGCGGUAAUACGGAGGAUCCGAGCGUUAUCCGGAUUUAUUGGGUUUAAAGGGAGCGUAGGUGGAUUGUUAAGUCAGUUGUGAAAGUUUGCGGCUGAACCGUAAAAUUGCAGUUGAAACUGGCAGUCUUGAGUGCAGUAGAGGUGAGCGGAAUUCGUGGUGUAGCGGUGAAAUGCUUAGAUAUCACGAAGAACACCGAUUGCGAAGGCAGCUAACUGGACUGCAACUGACACUGAGGCUCGAAAGUGUGGGUAUCAAACAGGAUUAGAUACCCGAGUAGUC